rnacentral:rRNA from 1 species
UACAGGGGGGGCAAGCGUUGUUCGGAAUUACUGGGCGUAAAGGGCCUGUAGGCGGCCAACUAAGUCCGACGUGAAAUCCCCAAGCUUAACUUGGGAACUGCGUCGGAUACUGGAUGGCUUGAAUUCGGGAGAGGGAUGCAGAAUUCCAGGUGUAGCGGUGAAAUGCGUAGAUAUCAGGAGGAACACCGGUGGCGAAGGCGGGUCUCUGGGCCGAUACUGACGCUGAGGAGCGGAAGCGUGGGGAGCGAACAGG